rnacentral:rRNA from 1 species
GACGAACGCUGGCGGCGUGCCUAAUACAUGCAAGUCGAACGCACAGUUUAUACCGUAGCUUGCUACACCAUAGACUGUGAGUUGCGAACGGGUGAGUAACGCGUAGGUAACCUGCCUGGUAGCGGGUGAUAACUAUUGGAAACGAUAGCUAAUACCGCAUAAUAUUGAUUAUUGCAUGAUAAUUGAUUGAAAGAUGCUAUUUCAUCACUACCAGAUGGAACUGCGUUGUAUUAGCUAGUAGGUGAGGUAACGGCUCACCUAGGCGACGAUACAUAGCCGACCUGAGAGGGUGAUCGGCCACACUGGGACUGAGAACCGGCCCAGACUCCUACGGGAGGCAGCAGUAGGGAAUCUUCGGCAAUGGACGAAAGUCUGACCGAGCAACGCCGCGUGAGUGAAGAAGGGUUUCGGAUCGUAAAGCUCUGUUGUAAGAGAAGAACGGGUGUGGGAGUGGAAAGUUCACACUGUGACGGUAUCUUACCAGAAAGGGACGGCUAACUACGUG